rnacentral:rRNA from 1 species
CAAUGCUCGAGUGGCGAACGGGUGAGUAAUACAUAAGUAACCUGCCCUAGACAGGGGGAUAACUGCUGGAAACGGCAGCUAAGACCGCAUAGGUAUGGACACUGCAUGGUGACCAUAUUAAAAGUGCCAAGGCACUGGUAGAGGAUGGACUUAUGGCGCAUUAGCUGGUUGGUGAGGUAACAGCCCACCAAGGCGACGAUCGGUAGCCGACCUGAGAGGGUGAUCGGCCACAUUGGAACUGAGAGACGGUCCAGACUCC